rnacentral:lncRNA from 1 species
GGGUUGCUGCUCACAUUGAACGCAAGCUACAAUGGUCUCAUUCAGCACAUGCUAAGGUCCGAGAAGUUACCUGACCUUGAGGAAGUGUGUGCUCAGAUACAAAGGGAGCAGGGCUCAAUGGGCUUGUUUGGAGGCAAGGGAGACUUAUCUCUUGCAAAUGCUGUGCAGUCUGACCGUGAAGAACCUCCUCAAGCCAACAAAGCUGGCUACAACAAGUAUGAGAAGUUCAAUGGGAAUUGUGAUCAUUGCAAGAGGUAUGGGCACAAGAAGAUUCAGUGCUG